GUGGGGACAAAGCUUCCCCUCACUCAACAAGCUUAUGGAGGCUGGCAUUGUGGGGUCAGACGCAGCCUUCUCUCAAGGAAGUGCUGAGCAGAAGCCACAGAGGGAGGGCCUCUGUCGAGCAGGAGGGUCCACAUGAUGACUUCCUGGCCAGCAACCUCAGAAGCAUGGUAUGCAGAGAAUGGGGAGAGCUAUCUCAAUGGCCCAGCACCUGGGGUUCCCGCUGUCAUGGGAAAGUCCCUACCCAGAUGUCAGUUGUGUCAGCACUGGCCCCCACUAGCUGAAAACCCUCAGGUCCACAAGGUGAGAAGGGAGGAGGAACAGUACUUCAUGUGGGCCUUUGCUCCAGAGUCAGUGUGUUUGUGUCUCCAGGACUACAAAGUUUUAGCUCAUCAGCCCCAUGAUGGAUCUUGGUAGACGUGCUUCUGUCUGAUCAUGUCCAAAGGAUCUCUGGACUUCCAGGUCAGACUGGGCCACCUGCAGGCUGUUCUCAUUUACCUGGGUGCUCUCCAAAGGCCCAGAGAACCACAUACUUUUAGGGCAUUUUGAACUUCUUACAAAGUCACAAUUAACGGGCCUUUCCUCCUAAAAGGCUAUGUUAAAACCAAAUUUAUUCUCAGAAUGAUUUGGGGGGCUUUAAGGAGCCUCAGAAAUGUCACAUGUAGAACUGGGGCUAUUGUGGAACCUUAAGAGAAAGAAAAAAAAAAAGCUAAGGAUACAUUUAAGUGGAAACUGUUCUAGGGGUUCUGUGGGGUCCCAGCUCUGAAGAGGGCAGAGUAAAAAUUCCUUACAAAGGUUGGAGGUGAUUAUUUCUUCACUUGCCUUCCCACCCCCCCGUGUUCUGUGUCCUGUAUUUCAGCAGGGCUUUCAAAAGCAUCACUUAAUAACUACCAAAAUAAAUUACCACCUUGGACUGUAAUUUUGUCACCUCAAGCAACUUUUAAAUGUGUCUUUUUAAAAUAUAAGUAAAAGCAAUCUAAAUAGAGUGUAAAGUGAAUUUUUUUUCUUCUGUUGCCAGAGGCAACCAUAAUGAAGUCUCCUUCCAGCAAGUGACUUCAGAUCUUUACACAAAUGGCAAUCAUUUUACAUGGUAUCCCAUGAUUAGUUUUACUUAAUAUACUGAUCUGUGGUGCAUUUGCAUGGUCAC
rnacentral:lncRNA from 1 species